rnacentral:misc_RNA from 1 species
UCCCUAUUACUAGAGCAGUCUGAUUAGAAAAAUACAACUAAUCACAAGGGUUGCGCUCGUUGAUGGACUUAACCAAGCAUCUCACGACACGAGCUGACGACGGCCAUGCAACAUCUGUCACCGAGUUCUAAAAGCACUCACUUCUUUCGGAGUAAUUCUCGGGAUGUCAAACCCUGGUAAGGUUCUUCGGUUAGCAUCGAAUUAAAGAACAUAAUCCACCGCUUGUGCGGGUCCCCGUCAAUUCCUUUAUGUUUUAGUCUUGCGACCGUACUCCACAGGCGGGAUACUUAACGCGUUAGCUUCGCUACUGAAGGGGUCGAUACCUCCAACAGCUAGUAUCCAUCGUUUACGGCGUGGACUAC